GGUCUGCGCAAACAUCCAUGGAGUCACGGAGUUGCCAGCCCAUCCCGCAAUUUCUUGUUGAAGAAUCCCAAGCUGCAUAUGAGAAGGAGGACCAAGUAUAAGUGUUAGCAGCUGGUACAGUGAAAAGCGGGACCACAGAGCGUGGUAAGGAAUGCAUUUUUACAUGAGUCUGAGCAGCCUUCCACGCUCGAUCAUCUUGUAUAGCUUUCAAGAUAGCAUUUUCUUCAUAGAAACAUAAGUCCUCAAAC
rnacentral:lncRNA from 1 species